rnacentral:sRNA from 1 species
UUUUAUCAUUCUUUGUACUUCUUAAAUAGAUCGGAAAACUAGAUCAUAACCCGUGUUAUACAGCACGGACAUUAAUAUUUUGUAUAAAUUAAAUUGUAUACUUUGUUUGAAUUACAUAAGAAAUAGUAUAGUAUAAAAGUGAUGCCAUAAUAUUUUUCAAUGUUUUACUAUUUACAUAUAAUGCAUUAGAUUGACUUUGUUUAAAAAUGUUAUUGUUAUAAUAAAUACAACAUAUGUAGUUUUAAGUAAAUGUGUAAAAUUUGUAUAGAAGUUAUUUUGGUAAGAAACAUGUUUCCUUUGUAUUAGAGGAUCUAAUUUUUGGUCUAAUUUAGAAUUAGUUUUUGUAUAGUAUUUUGGUUAUAUUUGUGGACCUAAUUGGGGCCUAUAUUAGAUUAUCUUUAAUAGGGCUGACGAAAAAACGGACCCGAUAACCAACUCAAUACUCGAACCAAAAAAUCGGGUUAGGGCGGGUUAAAAUUUUAGGAAAUUUCCUUAUUGGGUAGAGUUUUAGUAAACCCGUGGAUAUCCGAUUGGACCGGAAAUUACCCGUUAUCUAAAAAGAGUAUUCAAAAACCCAAACAUUAAUUUAAUAUCCAAAAUAUUAAUUAUAUGAUAUUAUUUUAUUUGAUUUUAAAUAUAUAGUAAAAUGCGAGUUGUAUAUGUUUUCUUGAUAUUAUUUAUAUUGUUUAGUGUUUAAAAUUAUACACUUGUAUUUUGAUUGUUAAUUUUAGAGUUUCACCUGUAAUAUACCAUCUUAUAUUAAUAUCGAUUUAAACCCGUCAAUUCUAGGAUUUUCCAGCUUGUAUUAAAAAUUGAAUCACAUCAUACACAUAAAAAAAUCUAAUAUGUUAUUAAUUAUUGUUGUAUAUAAGAUUAUAAAUUCUUAAA